GUCAGAAAUAUAUCAGGAGACGUUGGCAAAAGCACUUGCAAAACACUUUGGAGCUAAAUUGCUCAUAUUUGAUAGCCAUUCACUUUUGGGUGGUUUAUCUUCCAAAGAAGCUGAGCUGCUCAAAGAUGGAUUUAAUGCUGAGAAAUCCUGCAACUUCGCUAAACAAAGUCCUACAGCCACAGACACGGCGAGGAGCAUGGAUCCACCAGCUAGUGAACCAGAUACACCUAAUUCCUCAAAUGCACCUACUUCAUACGGCGUUGAGUCUCAACCUAAGUUGGAAGCUGAUAAUGUUCCAUCUACCUCUGGGACAACUAAAAGUUGUGUGUUUAAACUAGGUGACAGGGUAAAGUAUAAUUGUUCAUCUUCUUUGGGCUUUUAUCAGACAUCUUCAAGG